ACUGGUUGACUCAUGGGCAUUUUAUUGUACUUAAACUAGUACUAUGCUCAAUGAUAGUCUUUUGUGUUUUUAGAUUAUCUGGCAAAGAGAUUUGCAGAGUGUCGGGUGACCGGCAAAGAGAUCUGCAAAGUGUCAGUUGAAGACGACGAGAGGGGUCGCAGACGUAGCAACGACUGGUGUAUAACAUGAAGGAGAUCAUCAUUUGGCAAAGUUCUGGCAAAGAGAUUUGCAGAGUGUCGGGUGACCGGCAAAGAGAUCUGCAAAGUGUCAGUUGAAGACGACAGGAGGGGUCGCAGAGGAAUUAGUGACUGGAGAAUAGCAUGCAGGAGUGGGUGAUCCCUGAGAAGCUGCCCUGGGAGGAGAGCUGCGGACACAUGCUCCAAAUGUUGGGACAUAUGCAUUACCUAUUAGGAGAUGCGGUAAAGAUGCAGGCUGUUGGGUUUACAGCAGUCAGAAUACUGACACUGGGAUCCCGACACUCUUCAGAAGCCCGCUGUUGGAACUCCAAAUGGGCAAGUAUACCAACGCCCGUAUCCCCACGAUCGUAGGUU